ensembl:lncRNA
GAUCAGCACCUCUCCAAGGCGAGUUUGCAAAGAUCACAGAGGGCAUCAUGACGUCACACGGCUGUUUUCUCUGCCUGUUGCUUUUAAGUGUAAUCCCGAUCGAGCCAUCAGAAGCAGGUUGUAUGGACCACUUCACAAAAAAAGGAUUGGCAAACGCAUCAAGUGAGCUGCCAGAGAAUAUUACCGUCAAAAUAAUGAACAAGUCUGAGGACAUCAUUGUAUGUAGUUUAACGGAAGCCAAAGACUGUGCUAACAGCAAAACAGAAAAUACCUGCUUUCUACGGGACUGUUUUAAGGACGAGAAUAACAUGGGCUAUAAACCGCCAUGUAACGAGGCGGAUGAGAACAUCAGUGUCCCUUUCUACCACUUCAUGUGCUUGACAAAUAUAGCCAAGGGUCUACGAGAUAAAACAAAACCACCUGAAGUCUGUGAAGUGUACAAAAAAGUCUGUGGGGAAGAUUCUGCCACCCCAGCACCACCAAAACCUUCACCGACAACACCAACCAUUGAAGCAACACCAUCAACAGCACCAGCCAUUGAAGCAACACCAUCAACAGCACCAGCCAUUGAAGCAACACCAUCAACAGCACCAACCAUUGAAGCAACACCAUCAACACCACUGCCAACAACACCAACCACUAAAGCAACACCACCAACAGGACCAGCCAUCGACGCAACAUCAUCAACAGCACCAACCACUAAAGCAACACCACCAACAGGACCAGCCAUCGACGCAACAUCAUCAACAGCACCAGCCAUCGAAGCAACACCAACCAUUGAAGUAACAACAAAAAACCCAAGCACAGCAUCAACAACAAAAACAACAGCACCAUCAACGACAUCGUCAACAACAAGUACAACAGCAGCAUCAUUCCUGGUGAAUUCACGUUCACAGGGAGGAAUUUGUUCAGAAAAAGAAACGGGAAGUGACAUCCAAAAGAUUUUAAUAGGAGUUCUUAUCAUGACGAACAUCAUUGUCCCCAUGGCAAUUUAUCUGUACAUGCGUAACCAGAUUCAGCAGAUUCCAAACUUGAGGGAAGAAGUAAGAAUGACAGAGAUGCAGCAAAACACAUUUCCCAGGGAUGUUGAAGAGGGUCCCAUUUUAUUAACGACGCCCGAGAGUUCCAUCAUCAUAAAUUCACCUGAAAACACCAUAAUUUAAAGCCCUUGCCCAAAUAGAACACACCAUUAGAAGUUCUGAGCUGCUGAGAAUCUGGAUAAAUCUGGAUACGAGGAUCUGCCUUACACAGAUCUGGACUUACACAGUCCAGGUGAAGUAAAGGUGGUCUGUGAAGGCCUCUGCGCCCAAAGGUGGAUAAGCUUCCAAUGUGAAGAAGAGUGGGACCAAACAAGCCGCAGCAUGCCUGUUCAUGUAACUGCUCUGCAGUCGCACAUCAAGAUUGUUUUCUGUCCGCCUCAUGCAAAAUGUUUUACUGCUGUGCUGGUUUUAAGUGACCAAAGUCUUACCAGAAGAAGUGCACUGCAGAAAAUCUGUUUUAACACGAACAAUAACGAGUUGGUUUUUUGUCAUAUUUAGAAUAAUUUUAAACACAAAGACACAGAUUAUGCAUGUAGUCAGUAAACAUAUAUAUGUGUGUGUCUCUGUGUGUUCAAGUGUUCCACUGUGCAGACUACUAUAUUUAGUGCGACUGCAAAAGAAAAAAGUUACGUUUUUAUGGCUAAUGGACUAAUUGCCUCUGUUCAUGUGUGCAUAUUUGGGGAAAGGUUUGGUGGCUUUUUUUCUAUUCCUUGUAUGUAUUAAGUAUGUUGUGAUAAAGCUUCAGCUGAAAAGCUAAAAGUGCCUAAAAAAAAUUAAAUAUUAUUAUUUUUUUUAUUGCACAAUGCACAUUAAGCGAAGCCACCAUAAAAAAUUGAACUUUUACCUUUUUCUAAGCCAGCUGUGCUAGCUUUACCCCUAAAAUGUGAUCUUAUCUGUUAACAGUUGUUCUAGAUAAGUUCUCACUGUACAGUCCUCAUACAUCCAUCGAAUGUGUUUGUGUUUCAUGGAAGUAUAAAUAGAAAAUUACCUACCGCAAUGCUUUUAUUAUUUUCAUAAAUCACUGCAAAAACAAAGAGAUGUGAAAAAAGCGGUCUCUGCACGUUUUCAUUUUCAUACUGUCACGUUAUUUCACUCUUAUAUAUGGUAAAUGGUCUGUAUUUGUAUAGCGCUUUACUUGGUCCACUCUUGUGUAUGUGUAAUUAUCCCACAUAUCUGUCCCUCACAUAUGGAAGACUGUAGACAUUGUUCUGUGUUUUCAGUUUUUGGCUUUUGAUGCAUUUGUGGAAUAUAUUUUAGUUUUUGUUUAUGUAAAAAUUUUUAUUUUUAUAUAUUUUUUAAGCCAACCACUUUAUUUAUUGUGUUUGUAAUAGAGACUGAGUAGGAGUUUUUUUGUUUUGUUUUUGAAUGUGUAGAUGUGAGUUUAGACAAGCAUCUAUGAUUCCCAUACAUACUCCUUGGUGUGGAACAAAAAUGUCCAGACUGAAAAGAGAAAAAUGUAAGCAGAUAAUAGAACGGACCCGGUGAACAUAUCUGAGCACAGGAGCCAGACUUGUAAAGUGUAUAAAAAGCUAUAUUUAAAACCAAGUAAUAAAUAAGAAAUGAAUAAAAAAGAAAAAUCAAACAAAAACAUUUCUUUAAUUGAAACAGUCACAUUAAGGAUUCAUCUACACCAGGGGUCCCCAAACCCCGUCCACAAGGGCCGGUGUCCCUGCAGGUUUUAAUAAUAAUAAUAAUAAUAAUGGAUUGGAUUUAUAUAACGCUUUUCAAGGCACCCAAAGCGCUUUACAAUGCCACUAUUCAUUCAUUCGCGCAUUCACACACUGGUGGAGGCAGCUACGGUUGUAGCCACAGCUGCCCUGGGGCAGACUGACAGAAGCGAGGCUGCCAUAUCGCGCCAUCGGCCCCUCUGGCCAACACCAGUAGGUGGCAGGUGAAGGACACAACGACCAGGACAGAGAGCCCGGGGAUCGAACUGGCGACCUUCCGGUUACAGAUGUGCUUCCCAAACCCCUGAGUUUUAGAUCUCACCCUGGGUCAACACACCUGAAUCACGUGAUUAGUUCAUUACCAGGCCUCUGGAGAACUUCAGGACAUGUUGGCUGUAUCCCAAUUCAGGGUCUGCAGCCUUAAAGUACGCAGCCUUGACGGUCCACACGGGCCGCGUACUCAAAGACUGCUAAGGCUGGAAGUGCGAGGCUUCUGAAAUGGGACGGUCUAGCCUCCGUUGCGCUGCCCAGGUUGCCUAGCAACCAUGACACUAACUGCUGGAAACGUUUCAUACAGCUUUGUUUGACAGAAAUAAAGGAGAAAAUCUUUUGUUCAUUUGUU